CGGGCAGGCGGUCGCACAAGUCUGAUGUGAAAGCGCCCGGCUAAACCGGGCGAGGCCAUUGGAAACUGAGCGACUGGAGGGCAGCAGAGGCAGGUGGAAUUCCGGGUGGAGUGGUGAAAUGCGUAGAGAUCCGGAGGAACCCCAGAGGCGAAGGCGGCCUGCUGGGCUGCACCUGACGCUGAACCGCGAAAGCCAGGGGAGCGAACG
rnacentral:rRNA from 1 species